UGGACCUCUCGGGGUUACAGCCUUGCUGAAUUAUUCACCCUUGUCUUUUGCGUACUUCUUGUUUCCUUGGUGGGUUCGCCCACCACUAGGACAAACAUAAACCUUUUGUAAUUGCAAUCAGCGUCAGUAACAAAUUAAUAAUUACAACUUUCAACAACGGAUCUCUUGGUUCUGGCAUCGAUGAAGAACGCAGCGAAAUGCGAUAAGUAGUGUGAAUUGCAGAAUUCAGUGAAUCAUCGAAUCUUUGAACGCACAUUGCGCCCUUUGGUAUUCCAAAGGGCAUGCCUGUUCGAGCGUCAUUUGUACCCUCAAGCUUUGCUUGGUGUUGGGCGUCUUGUCUCUAGCUUUGCUGGAGACUCGCCUUAAAGUAAUUGGCAGCCGGCCUACUGGUUUCGGAGCGCAGCACAAGUCGCACUCUCUAUCAGCAAAGGUCUAGCAUCCAUUAAGCCUUUUUUUUCAACUUUUGACCUCGGAUCAGGUAGGGAUACCCGCUGAACUUAAGCAUAUCAAUAAGCGGAGGAAA
rnacentral:rRNA from 1 species